CUCUAUGGCGGCUGUGUGCGGGAGACCUUCGGGUCUGCCGGUUUCAGUCUCUUCUCCGGUCUGCGAACCCGCACAUGGCUGCCACCUUU
rnacentral:antisense_RNA from 1 species